rnacentral:rRNA from 1 species
AGCGAACGCUGGCGGCAGGCCUAACACAUGCAAGUCGAACGAACCUUUCGGGGUUAGUGGCGGACGGGUGAGUAACACGUGGGAACGUGCCUUUAGGUUCGGAAUAACUCAGGGAAACUUGUGCUAAUACCGAAUGUGCCCUUCGGGGGAAAGAUUAAUCGCCUUUAGAGCGGCCCGCGUCUGAUUAGCUAGUUGGUUGGGGUAAUGGCUCACCAAGGCGACGAUCAGUAGCUGGUCUGAGAGGAUGAUCAGCCACAUUGGGACUGAGACACGGCCCAAACCCCUACGGGAGGAAGCAGGGGGGAAUUUUGCGAAAUGGGCGAAAGCCUGACGCCGCCAUGCCGGGUGAAUGAUGAAGGUUUUAGGUUUGAAAAAUUUUUUCACCGGGGAAGAAAAUGACGGUACCCGGAAAAGAAGCCCCGGCUAACUUCGU